rnacentral:rRNA from 1 species
UGGGGAAUUUUGGACAAUGGGCGAAAGCCUGAUCCAGCAAUGCCGCGUGUGUGAAGAAGGCCUUCGGGUUGUAAAGCACUUUUGUCCGGAAAGAAAUCCUUGGCUCUAAUACAGUCGGGGGAUGACGGUACCGGAAGAAUAAGCACCGGCUAACUACGCGCCAGCAGCCGCGGUAAUACGUAGGGUGCAAGCGUUAAUCGGAAUUACUGGGCGUAAAGCGUGCGCAGGCGGUUUGCUAAGACCGAUGUGAAAUCCCCGGGCUCAACCUGGGAACUGCAUUGGUGACUGGCAGGCUAGAGUAUGGCAGAGGGGGGUAGAAUUCCACGUGUAGCAGUGAAAUGCGUAGAGAUGUGGAGGAAUACCGAUGGCGAAGGCAGCCCCCUGGGCCAAUACUGACGCUCAUGCACGAAAGCGUGGGGAGCAAACAGGAUUAGAUACCCUGGUAGUCCACGCCCUAAACGAUGUCAACUAGUUGUUGGGGGACUUCAUUUUCCUUAGUAACGUAGCUAACGCGUGAAGUUGACCGCCUGGGGAGUACGGUCGCAAGAUUAAAACUCAAAGGAAUUGACGGGGUCAUAGCUGUUUCCU